AGAACUUAUAUUUGUGUUUGUGGAAAGGGAGGAAAAAACAUAAGACAUGUGCAAAAAUAAAUUCUCUUGUACACCAGAACUCAUUGUUCUGGGUGAGUUUUGAUACCUGUAAGAAGGAAUAUG